GCCCUACGGGGUGCAGCAGGCGCGAAAACUUUACAAUGCUGGCAGCAGCGAUAAGGGAACCUCGAGUGCCAGGUUACAAAUCUGGCUGUCGAGAUGCCUAAAAAGCAUUUCAUAGCAAGGGCCGGGCAAGACCGGUGCCAGCCGCCGCGGUAACACCGGCGGCUCGAGUGGUAACCGUUAUUAUUGGGUCUAAAGGGUCUGUAGCCGGCCGGAUAAGUCUCUUGAGAAAUCUGGCAGCUUAACUGUCAGGCUUUCAGGAGAUACUGUCUGGCUCGAGGCCGGGAGAGGUGAGAGGUACUUCAGGGGUAGGGGUGAAAUCUUGUAAUCCUUGAAGGACCACCAGUGGCGAAGGCGUCUCACCAGAACGGACCUGACGGCAAGGGACGAAAGCUAGGGGCACGAACCGGAUUAGAUACCCGGGUAGUCCUAGCCGUAAACGAUACUCGCUAGGUGUCGGCCACGGUGCGACCGUUGUCGGUGCCGUAGGGAAGCCGUGAAGCGAGCCACCUGGGAAGUACGGCCGCAAGGCUGAAACUUAAAGGAAUUGGCGGGGGAGCACAACAACGGGUGGAGCUUGCGGUUUAAUUGGAUUCAACGCCGGAAAUCUUA
rnacentral:rRNA from 1 species